GGGUGCAGCAGGCGCGAAAACUUUACAAUGCGGGAAACCGUGAUAAGGGGACACCGAGUGCCAGCAUCAUAUGCUGGCUGUCCAGGUGUGUAAAAUACACCUGUUAGCAAGGGCCGGGCGAGACCGGUGCCAGCCGCCGCGGUAACACCGGCGGCCCGAGUGGUGAUCGUGAUUAUUGGGUCUAAAGGGUCCGUAGCCGGUUUGGUCAGUCCUCCGGGAAAUCUGAUAGCUCAACUAUUAGGCUUUCGGGGGAUACUGCCAGACUUGGAACCGGGAGAGGUAAGAGGUACUACAGGGGUAGGAGUGAAAUCUUGUAAUCCCUGUGGGACCACCUGUGGCGAAGGCGUCUUACCAGAACGGGUUCGACGGUGAGGGACGAAAGCUGGGGGCACGAACCGGAUUAGAUACCCGGGUAGUCCCAGCCGUAAACGAUGCUCGCUAGGUGUCAGACAUGGUGCGACCGUGUCUGGUGCCGCAGGGAAGCCGUGAAGCGAGCCACCUGGGAAGUACGGCCGCAAGGCUGAAACUUAAAGGAAUUGGCGGGGGAGCACAAGGGCGAUUCGC
rnacentral:rRNA from 1 species